UAAGCACCUUUAAGACCAGACUGGAUGCAGUAUGAACGGGAGGGAUCAGGGUAGAGGAAGGACGGGGAUAUAAACCAACUAUGCAAGGCUUUGCUGCUCGCACAGAGACGGGCGUAACAGCAGGUAAGACCAGUCUGUAGAAACAGAGAUGAGGAGGGAGACAGGUCUAGCAGGUAGAGGAAGGUGGAAGAUGAGGAGGGAGACAGGUCUAGCAGGUAGAGGAAGGUGGAAGAUGAGGAGGGAGACAGGUCUAGCAGGUAGAGGAAGGUGGAAGAUGAGGAGGGAGACAGGUCUAGCAGGUAGAGGAAGGUGGAAGAUGAGGAGGGAGACAGGUCUAUCAGGUAGAGGAAGGUGGAAGAUGAGGAGGGAGACAGGUCUAGCAGGUAGAGGAAGGUGGAAGAUGAGGGAGACAGGUCUAGCAGGUAGAGGAAGGUGGAAGAUGAGGAGGGAGACAGGUCUAACAGGUAGAGGAAGGUGGAAGAUGAGGAGGGAGACAGGUCUAGCAGGUAGAGGAAGGUGGAAGAUGAGGGAGACAGGUCUAGCAGGUAGAGGAAGGUGGAAGAUGAGGGAGACAGGUCUAGCAGGUAGAGGAAGGUGGAAGAUGAGGAGGGAGACAGGUCUAUCAGGUAGAGGAAGGUGGAAGAUGAGGAGGGAGACAGGUCUAGCAGGUAGAGGAAGGUGGAAGAUGAGGGAGACAGGUCUAGCAGGUAGAGGAAGGUGGAAGAUGAGGAGGGAGACAGGUCUAUCAGGUAGAGGAAGGUGGAAGAUGAGGAGGGAGACAGGUCUAGCAGGUAGAGGAAGGUGGGAGAUGAGGGAGACAGGUCUAGGAGGUAGAGGAAGGUGGGAGAUGAGGGAGACAGGUCUAGCAGGUAGAGGAAGGUGGGAGAUGAGGAGGGAGACAGG